AGCUCCAAUAGCGUAUAUUAAAGUUGUUGCAGUUAAAAAGCUCGUAGUUGGAUUUGUGGCCUUCACUGUCCAUUCCUCACUUAGUGUUGAAUUGGUUGGUGUCGCCAUCCUUGGGUGGAUCCUGUGUGGCAUUAGGUUGUCGUGCAGGGGAUGCCCAUCUUUUACUGUGAAAAAAUUAGAGUGUUCAAAGCAGGCUUAUGCUGUUGAAUAUAUUAGCAUGGAAUAAUAAGAUAGGACCUUGGUACUAUUUUGUUGGUUUGCGCACCAAGGUAAUGAUUAAUAGGGACAGUUGGGGGUAUUUGUAUUCCAUUGUCAGAGGUGAAAUUCUUGGAUUUCUGGAAGACGAACUACUGCGAAAGCAUUUACCAAGGAUGUUUUCAUUAAUCAAGAACGAAAGUAC
rnacentral:rRNA from 1 species